GACAGAGGGUGCAAACGUUGCUCGGAAUCAUUGGGCGUAAAGCGCACGUAGGCGGUUCGUUAUGUCGGAUGUGAAAGCCCUUGGCUUAACCGAGGAAGUGCAUCCGAAACUGGCGAGCUAGAGUACUAAAGAGGAUCGCGGAAUUCCCGGUGUAGAGGUGAAAUUCGUAGAUAUCGGGAGGAACACCGGUGGCGAAGGCGGCGAUCUGGGUAGAGACUGACGCUGAGGUGCGAAAGCGUGGGGAGCAAACAGG
rnacentral:rRNA from 1 species